rnacentral:rRNA from 1 species
CCCUUAGAUGUUCUGGGCCGCACGCGCGCUACACUGAUGCAUUCAACGAGCCUAUCCUUGACUGACAGGUCCGGGUAAUCUUUGAAUCUGCAUCGUGACGGGGAUAGAUUAUUGCAAUUAUUAAUCUUCAACGAGGAAUGCCUAGUAGGCGCAAGUCAUCAGCUUGCGUCGAUUACGUCCCUGCCCUUUGUACACACCGCCCGUCGCUCCUACCGAUUGGGUGUGCUGGUGAAAUGUUCGGAUCGGCCGUUUGUCGCGGUUUCCGCGUCAUGUGGCUGAGAAGUUCAUUAAACCCUCCCACCUAGAGGAAGGAGAAGUCGUAACA